rnacentral:lncRNA from 1 species
GUCAUUUAAUUGGGAUAAUACUUAAAAUAACUUCGUUUGGAUUAUUGUAAUAAUUUUCAUCCCAUGUGAGAUCAAAAUAGUGACAGGAAUUGAAUUGUAUGAGGUUAAGUAAGCUUUUAUAGUUAAAGUCAGGGAAAUCGCCAAGCAAUUCAAAUUUGGAACAGGAAGUUCAUUUCGGAAAUAUAACAAAGUGAAUUUGUACAGAUGAUAUCCGUACUUUAAGAACCGUUCAAAUAUUUCUAUGGUAUGAACACGC